rnacentral:rRNA from 1 species
GAGGUUCGAUCCUGGCUCAGAUUGAACGCUGGCGGGAUGCUUUACACAUGCAAGUCGAACGGCAAUACGGACUUCGGUCUGGUGGCGAGUGGCGAACGGGUGAGUAAUGUAUCGGAACGUGCCUAGUAGCGGGGGAUAACUACGCGAAAGCGUAGCUAAUACCGCAUACGCCCUUCGGGGAAAGCGGGGGACCUUCAGACCUCGCACUAUUAGAAACGGCCGAUAUCGGAUUAGCUAGUGGUGGGUAACGGCUCGCAAGGCGACGAUCCGUAGCUGGUUUGAAGGACGACCAGCCACACUGGGACUGAGACCCGGCCCAGACUCCUACGGGAGGCAGCAGUGGGGAAUUUUGGACAAUGGAAACCCUGAUCCAGCCAUCCCGCGUGUGCGAUGAAGGCCUUCGGGUUGUAAAGCACUUUUUGGCAGGAAAGAAACGGCACGGGAUAAUACCCCGUGCAACUGACGGUACCUGCAGAAUAAGCACCGGCUAACCGUGCCAGCAGCCGCGGUAAUACGUAGGGUGCAAGCGUUAAUCGGAAUUGCAAGGGCGUAAAGCGUGCGCAGGCGGUUCGGAAAGAGAAAGAUGUGAAUCCCCAGGCUUAACUUUGGAACUGCAUUUUUAACUACCGAGCUAGAGUGUCAGAGGGAGGUGGAACUCCGCGUGUAGCAGUGAAAUGCGCUAGAUAUGCGGAAGGUACCGAUGGCGAAGGCAACCUCCUGGGAUAACACUGACGCUCAUGCACGAAAGCGUGGGGAGCAAACAGGAUUAGAUACCUGGUAGUCCACGCCUAAACGAUGUCAACUGUUGGGGCCUUCGGGCCUUGGUAGCGCAGCUAACGCGUGAAGUUGACCGCCUGGGGAAUUACGGUCGCAAGAUUAAAACUCAAAGGAAUUGACGGGGACCCGCACAAGCGGUGGAUGAUGUGGAUUAAUUCGAUGCAACGCGAAAAAGGCCUUACCUACCCUUGACAUGUCUGGAAUCCCGAAGAGAUUUGGGAGUGCUCGCAAGAGAACCGGAACACAGGUGCUGCAUGGCUGUCGUCAGCUCGUGUCGUGAGAUGUUGGGUUAAGUCCGCAACAGGCGCAACCCUUGUCGAUGAUUUAGCUACGAAGGGCACUCUAAUGAGACUGCCGGUGACAAACCGGAGGAAGGUGGGGAUGACGUCAAGUCCUCAUGGCCCUUAUGGGUAGGGCUUCUACACGUCAUACAAUGGUCGGGACAGGGGGUCGCCAACCCCGCGAGGGGAGCCAAUCCCAGAAACCCGAUCGUAGUCGGAUCGCAGUCUGCAACUCGACUGCGUGAAGUCCGGAAUCGCUAGUAAUCAUACGGAUCAGCAUGUCGCGGUGGGCGUACGUUCCCGGGUCUUGUACACACCAUACGUCCUGUAGGAGUGGGUUUUUUACCAGAAGUGGUUAGCCUAACCGUAAGGAGGGCGAUUACCACGGUAGGAUUCAUGACUGGGGUGAAGUCGUAACAAGGUAG